UGGGGAAUAUUGCACAAUGGGCGCAAGCCUGAUGCAGCCAUGCCGCGUGUGUGAAGAAGGCCUUUGGGUUGUAAAGCACUUUCAGCGGGGAGGAAGGCGUUAAGGUUAAUAACCUUGGCGACUGACGUUACCCGCAGAAGAAGCACCGGCUAACUUCGUGCCAGCAGCCGCGGUAAUACGGAGGGUGCAAGCGUUAAUCGGAAUUACUGGGCGUAAAGCGCACGCAGGCGGUCUGUCAAGUCGGAUGUGAAAUCCCCGGGCUCAACCUGGGAACUGCAUUCGAAACUGGCAGGCUGGGGUCUUGUAGAGGGGGGUAGAAUUCCAGGUGUAGCGGUGAAAUGCGUAGAGAUCUGGAGGAAUACCGGUGGCGAAGGCGGCCCCCUGGACAAAGACUGACGCUCAGGUGCGAAAGCGUGGGGAGCAAACAGG
rnacentral:rRNA from 1 species